AAUUCACUAGUGAUUUUGGAGGGCAAGUCUGGUGCCAGCAGCCGCGGUAAUUCCAGCUCCAAUAGCGUAUAUUAAAGUUGUUGCAGUUAAAAAGCUCGUAGUUGAAUUUCGGGAUCAAUAUGCUGGUCGUGCCAUUGGUACGUACUAGUAUUAUUGGUUUCUUCCUUCUGAUGAAUCAUGAUGUCAUUAAGUUGAUGUCAUGGGGAAUCAGGACUGUUACUUUGAAAAAAUUAGAGUGUUUAAAGCAGGCUCGCGCUUGAAUACAUUAGCAUGGAAUAAUGAAAUAGGACGUUUGAUUCUAUUUUGUUGGUUUCUAGGAUUGACGUAAUGAUUAAUAGGGAUAGUUGGGGGCAUUAGUAUUCAAUUGUCAGAGGUGAAAUUCUUGGAUUUAUUGAAGACUAACUACUGCGAAAGCAUUUGCCAAGGAUGUUUUCAUUAAUCAAGAACGAAGGUUUGGGGAUCGAAGACGAUCAGAUACCGUCGAAGUCUUAACCAUAAACUAUGCCGACUAGGGAUCGGAUGAUGUUAAUUUUUUAAUGACUCAUUCGGCGCCUUACGGGAAACAAUC
rnacentral:rRNA from 1 species